UGCGACGAGAGCAAUCUACUCGAAUGAAUUGGUCUGCUCUGGUUUCCGCUAGCGGUGGCGUCUGCGUCUAUUGUUGUCCGUCUCUCCGUUUACCCACAUCCGCCCCAAAAAGACUAGGCCAGAAGACGAAUGAUGCCAUUGUGUGUGGCUGAAUAUUACGUAUCGAUUCAACUUUGAUUUCAUUCUGUGCGAAGGGGCGAUUUGGGUUUGGUUUUUCUCUUUUUUGGCCAGUCAGCGAGUUUCCCGCGUGACAAAUAAUUACGUUAGCCUAGCCGCCAUUGAGACGAGAGCAAACACCUCAUCAAAAAUGCAAACAGACGUAGUCGUACAGUAAGAUGCCGUACGUGAAAGUGACACGCAAAAGGAAUGAACCAUCUCUUUCCAACUCCAUAUCCCCCAGUUGACUCGAAACGGUUCCAUUUGGUGAGUUGCAUCGCGGUCCAGCAAACAAGCUGCAUCGACUUUUUUUUGUUUUAUUUUCUUUUCGGGUCGUUUUCACAAAGAGCUGCAAAGUAUGGACCCGAACUGAAGUAGAAGCCCCGCCCCGUCCCUCUAAAUAAAAACUAACUAUAACAUGAACGGCCAACAAGUUUUGGGCCUGCCUAAUCUUUUAGUGGUCAGUUUUGGUUUGUGCUGGCCAACUCCCCGCUGUUUUGUGUACACUUAAAUGUACAACACUGUCACUAUACCCCGUAUGCGUCCGUCUCUCAGUAAACUGUCCAGCGGGACUAGAAGGGAAAGGCAGUGCACUCAGCUGAUUUGACGGGACGGAACCGUUCCGUUCAUAAAAGAGUGCACUCUCUUGCCCUGUUUUUUUUUUUUAUUGUGAUCUCCAGACGCGUGAGACGGAGGGAAAAAAUAAAUCCCAGAGUGACGGAUAUACACUCUGGCGGACAUCCCGCGAUGCACAGAAGAGGGAGUACUGGCUAAUUCAGGCUUUUCAUGCAUAAUGGAAAGGCAGCACGCUCCUUGGUUGAACGAAAUCACGCAUUCAAGCAUUUUCCUGCCACUCGUUUCUAAGUAUAGAUUGAACGGAUCAAAGUCUAGAUAGGAAUAGUCCUAAAAAAUUUUUUGGCAUAUUCACGCUAGUAAAAGUGUUGUCUAUGGUUACACGUAAACGAUAUCCAGCAUCCGCAAAAAAAAAAUUUUGCUCGUAUCGUCAUGUUACAUUGAAGACUAGAUUUGAUCGCGAAUGUUAUAGCAAAUGUUUUCUCAGUACUGCGCAUUGGAAUCCAAUGUAAUCUGAUGAUGCGGAUGGCACGUGUGCGGGGGUUUAUUGUAAGUUUACCUCUGAACGAUAAAACGCCCACGUAACUCACCUUAUUUGCAUUUUGGCCCGCAGGGCCCAAAUAAGAGUAUAGCCGCAUUUGGAAGGGUAAUGUAUGUGUAUUUUUUUUCCUGUUGUCACUAGAUUAUAGAAAUUGAUGAAAACGAUUAGCGAUUACAUUGACCAAUAAGAGGAUUAUAUAAAAAGAGAGAGAUAUUUUUAAUAGCAUAAAAUGCGUCGGAGAAAUGGUUGGGAAAAAAAAUGAAUGAUAUUGUGCUGUACGCGUGCGUAGACACACACAAACAUACACACACACAUAAAAAUGGAGAAAGAAUACAUGUUUUUUUUUUUUUUAAACAAACAAAGCGUGGCUGCGAUGAAAAAGAGGCUGCGUGUGCGCUGCCACCCAUUUGAGAGACUGAUGGCAAACUAACGAACAAUGGGGAGAGACGAUCCUGCAAGAAAAACAGAAUGACAGGAAGUGACAGAGGAAAUGCAUGGCCGGCGCUGAUAGUAAAACAGUGUCGUCAACUAAUGGCGUAACGGAAACGUAAGUGUAUAGAAUCAUCGUGGUCUGUGUGGGAGUUUUCUUCUUCUUUGGACAUAAAAAUGAUCACUUUCACUGAUGGCUGCUGGUUGGCAUAAUUUUUUUCUUCAUCGCUGCAUAUGGAAAUAAAAGAUCUGCGCACUGAUCUCUCCAUGGUUUUGCUGUGGCUAUUUAGUUUUCCCCUUUUCGUUUUAAAUCCCAGGAUAGCAAUAAGUUUGUUGGGUAGGCGACCUUUUGUAAUUUUAUUCUUCCUUCCUUUUUUUUUUUCUUUUAAUUUUUCUUAUCGUUUUUCUAGUUUCUGUUGCGACGACCGGCUCCGCCUGCACCGCCUGUUCAUUUCGUGAAAUUAAAUAAGAGCUUAUUAAUGGCCAGUUUUUUCUUUUUUUUUUUUUCUUUCUAGAAAACAUUUUGUCGGUAGUUUUAAGCGGUUAUUCCAUCAAAGACUUGAAUAGAUAAACAAAUGAAAAUGCGCACUAAAAGCGCUUGAUGGUCUGGAGGUCAUCAUCUUUCCGCACGAGAAUGAUUUUUUUUUUUUUUCACGCAUGCAUGGGCGAGGAUUAGGGGCGUUAUUAAUGAAACGUCGACCGACAACAACAAAAACUUUGAUUUAAAACCGCCGAACGCGCUGCUGCCAAAUAUAAUGACCGCGUCCGCAUUGAAAAAAGGCUUUUGCUCCCGAUCCUCUCGGUGGGGAAUACUUCAAGUUGUGAGUGAAUUAAUCGUUACGACCGAGCUUUAUUAUCCGCAAAAAUGUCUAGCUCCCUGUAAUAUUUUCUUGCUACGCAGCGGAAACGAAGGAAACUCUUCGCCCGACUCCGACUUUCUGUUGAUGUAGUGGAUUGGGGCGGUAUCCAUAGCAACGCUAUUAGCCGAAACGAUGGCACAUUAUUAUCUUUCUUUUUUUUUACUAGGACGAAUUAUUUCAGAUAUUGCGCUCAACAGUCUCGUUGCCUGACUACGACGAUAUUAAAACCAAUUUCCUUUUCACGCAAUUUCGACGGGAUAUUAAAAAAUAAAAAAAAGUUGGCCAGAUUAAAUUCGUAAAUGCGUCUGCUGAACAGCAGGAAAGUAAAAGGCCAAAGGAGCGUGGUGCAGCCGAGUUCAAUUUAACUGAAUUGGAGUCAAGCUGUGCUGGAAAAUAAACGGAAAGAAACAAAAAAGAAAAUUGCGGUUGGAAACCGUACGAACCGACGAUGACAGAUAAUGGAUGAAGCGAGACGAGGUUAGCAAAGUGAUUAAAAUGAUGAGAGACGGGUAUCUAUGUAUAUCAUCAGCUAUCAUCAGCGUAUAGCUGUAAUAUCGAUCGUAUAUUGUGUGUGCGUGAGCGCUUGUACGUGCGCGUUCAAGUGCUGAGCUUUGAACUCUUGGACGGCCGAGGAUUGGAUGCAUUCGCUAAUUGAAUGAGACUCUAUUGAAGAAGCCAUCGCCUACAAUACACGCGUAGGCAUAACGACGUUCGACCUGAAUUCGCUGUCAACUACUCCCCGCCAGCAAUCCGGAUUUUAACAAGUUCCGUCGUUGCGGAAUCCAUUUUGGUUGGGGCGCAAGAUUGCCCGCAGACAGGCGUAUUUACACGAAGAGCGGGAUUCAAUCUUGGCACCAUUCAAAGAAAGAAAGAGAAGAAAAAAAAACCCGACGAAGAACUAGGAUUAAAUAUACAGAGAAUGCCAACAAGGCGCUAUAGAGAAUGUGCACACGCCCCUCCUCGAACCGGAAUUCUUUCUUCUUCCUUUAAAAAAAAAAAAUACGCUAGAAGAAGGAAAGAAGAUAGAAAGAGUGAAAAGAGUAAAAUGUCUUUCCCCCAAUUAAUAAAUAAUAAGCACGAAAGUCACGCUUCAUUAAUGAAUGAAGCGUGAAAAGAGGCUAACCUUUUUUGCAUUUCUUAGUGAUGGUCUUGGAUUGUUCGCAGCUGCUGUCGCCCUUUUUCAGCGUCAUACUGCGCGAGCGUUGAUUGGUGGCAGUGUUGCAUUCGGACCAGGCGCCCUUGGUGUAUCGGCAAGCUAUUCAAUACGAAAGAAAUGAACAAGAAAAAAGAACGAUCGAUUUAAUCAGGUAAUCGAUCUGCAAUAAGACGUUGGUUCUGUGCACAAUGUGCUGUGUAUACAAGUUCCCAAAAGAGAAGAGAGAAAAAGGGAAUUAUUGAGCUUGAAAAAGAGAGAGAAGAAAAAAAAGGGCGAGUGGCUGAUAUUACCUUUACCCUCUCCCCGGCGGCGUCUUUCUCCUUGCUCUGCGUUCCCCCUGGCGGAUCCCCUGUUGCGGCCUCUUCCGGCUCCUUCCGGCUGGCUAGCCGAUCGAACAACGCGAAGAUUGACUUGGUCAUCUUCGUCCUCCUCGUUGCUGCUAUUAUCCUCGGCCGUUGAAGCUUCGUCUUGCUGAUCUUCAGUGAACAGCUCGUUAUCUUCUUCAAGAUCCUGGGCAGCAGCCAGAACGACAGCACCAGCCACCAAAAGUAAGAACAACGUCCACUUCAUGGUUUCUUUUUCUUUUUAUUUCGUAUUGCGGGUUGU